GAUGAACGCUGACAGAAUGCUUAACACAUGCAAGUCGAUGGGGAAGUGGUGCUUGCACCAUGGCAACCAUGGCGGACGGGUGAGUAACGCGUAAGGGACUUACCUGCAGGACUGGGAUAACAGGGGGAAACUCCUGACAAGACCGGAUAAUGUCAUGGAGCUGCAUGGCUUUAUGAUGGAAGGAGACGCCUGCGGAGAGCCUUGCGUCCUAUUAGCUAGUUGGUGAGGUAAUGGCUCACCAAGGCGAAGAUAGGUAGCCGGCCUGAGAGGGUGGACGGCCACAAGGGGACUGAGAUACGGCCCUUACUCCUACGGGAGGCAGCAGUGGGGAAUAUUGGACAAUGGGGGCAACCCUGAUCCAGCAAUUCUGUGUGCACGAAGAAGGUUUUCGGAUUGUAAAGUGCUUUCAGCAGGGAAGAAGUAAGUGACGGUACCUGCAGAAGAAGCGACGGCUAAAUACGUG
rnacentral:rRNA from 1 species